rnacentral:rRNA from 1 species
UGAUUAAGUAAGGAAGGGCGUACGGAGGAUGCCUUGCCACUCCCGAAUGAAGAAGGACGCGCCAAACUGCGAAAAGCGUCGGCGAGCUGUAAGGAAGCGAAGACCCGGCGGUGUCCGAAUGGGGGAACCCGGCAGCUGUCAUAGGCUGUCAUCCAUGGAUGAAUACAUAGUGCAUGGAGAGGAACCUGGGGAACUGAAACAUCUAAGUACCCGGAGGAAAAGAAAACAAAAGUGAUUUCCCGAGUAGCGGCGAGCGAAAGGGAAGAAGCCCAAACCGAUCUUAGGGUCGGGGUUGUAGGACCGCGAGAAGACAAGAACGAGGAUAGGAGAACACGAUUGAAAGCGUGACCGAAGAGGGUGCAAGUCCCGUAACCGAAAUCCGAGGGAAGUCGAGCGGGAUCCUGAGUACGGCGAGACACGAGGAAUCUUGUCGGAAGCAGGCAGGACCAUCUGCCAAGGCUAAAUAUCAGGGAGUGAGCGAUAGUGGACCAGUACCGUGAGGGAAAGGUGAAAAGAACCGCGGGAGCGGAGUGAAAUAGAACCUGAAACCGUAUGCCUACAAGAAGUCAGAGCCCGUCAAAGGGUGAUGGCGUGCCUUUUGUAGAAUGAACCGGCGAGUUGUGAUGGAGUGCGAGGUUAAGCGGGAAAACGCGGAGCCGAAGCGAAAGCGAGUCUUAAUAGGGCGAGAGUAAGCCAUUGCAGACCCGAAACCGGGUGAUCUAGCCAUGAGCAGGUUGAAGUUGAGGUGAAACUCAAUGGAGGACCGAACCGACCACCGUUGAAAAGUUGGCGGAUGACUUGUGGCUAGGGGAGAAAUUCCAAUCGAACCCGGAGAUAGCUGGUUCUCCCCGAAAUAGCUUUAGGGCUAGCGUCGUGGAAAGGAUAUCGGAGGUAGAGCACUGAAUGUGUGAUGGCCCCAUCCCGGGGUACUGAAUACAAUCAAACUCCGAAUGCCGAUAUCCUGUAGCGGCAGUCAGACCGUGAGUGAUAAGGUCCAUGGUCGAGAGGGAAACAGCCCAGACCGCCAGCUAAGGUCCCGAAAUACAGGCUAAGUGGAAAAGGAUGUGGGGAUGCCCAGACAACUAGGAGGUUGGCUCAGAAGCAGCCAUCCUUCAAAGAGUGCGUAACAGCUCACUAGUCGAGUGACCCUGCGCCGAAAAUGUACCGGGGCUAAGCCUGAUACCGAAGCUGCGGAUUUAAACCUAGUUUAAGUGGUAGGGGAGCGUUGCAUACGGGUAGAAGCCGUACCGGGAGGGACGGUGGACUGUAUGGAAGUGAGAAUGCCGGUGUGAGUAGCGAGAUGUAGGUGAGAAUCCUACACACCGAAAGCCCAAGGAUUCCAGGGGAAGGUUCGUCCGCCCUGGGUAAGUCGGGACCUAACGCGAGGCCGAGAGGCGUAGUGGAUGGCAAGCAGGCGGAAAUUCCUGCACCCGUAUAUGGAGCGAAGGAGUGACGGAGACGGCUAGUAUGACCCUCUUAACGGAUUGAGGGCGAAGCGAGGUACCUGAUGGUUAGGCAAAUCCGGCCAUCGAAAGGGGAAGACGUGACAGGGAAGCGAACGUUUCGACAAGUAGCGAAGCAUAUGAGGCCGGCUUCCAAGAAAAGCUUCUAAGCAUAUGCAUAUGCGGCCCGUACCAAAACCGACACAGGUGGGCAGGGAGAGUAUCCCGAGGUGAGCGAGAGAACUGUUGCCAAGGAACUCGGCAAAAUGGCUCCGUACGUUCGCAAGAAGGAGCGCUCAUGAGAAGUGAGCCGCAGUGAAGAGGCCCAAGCGACUGUUUAACUAAAACACAGCUCUCUGCGAAGUCGCAAGACGAAGUAUAGGGGGUGACACCUGCCCGGUGCCGGAAGGUUAAGAGGAUCUGUUAAUCGCGAGAUGAAGCAGUGAGUUGAAGCCCCGGUGAACGGCGGCCGUAACUAUAACGGUCCUAAGGUAGCGAAAUUCCUUGUCAGGUAAGUUCUGACCCGCACGAAAGGUGUAACGAUUUGGGCGCUGUCUCGGCAGCAGGCUCGGUGAAAUCUUAGUACCUGUGAAAAUGCAGGUUACCCGCAACUAGACGGAAAGACCCCAUGGAGCUUUACUGUAGCUUGGUAUUGGACUUUGGUCAUGCAUGUACAGGAUAGGUGGGAGACGAAGAGACGUGUACGCCAGUAUACGAGGAGUCGCCGUUGGGAUACCACUCUUGUGUGAUCGGAGUUCUAACCUGGUCCCUUGAAGCAGGGAUGGGGAGAGUGCCAGGUGGGCAGUUUGACUGGGGCGGUCGCCUCCCAAAGAGUAACGGAGGCGCCCAAAGGUACGCUCAGAUUGGAUGGAAACCAAUCGGCGAGUGCAAAUGCAGAAGCGUGCUUGACUGUGAGAGCAACAACUCGAACAGGGACGAAAGUCGGGAUUAGUGAUCCGGCGGUGCCGAAUGGAAGGGCCGUCGCUCAACGGAUAAAAGCUACCCUGGGGAUAACAGGCUGAUCUCGCCCAAGAGUUCACAUCGACGGCGAGGUUUGGCACCUCGAUGUCGGCUCAUCGCAUCCUGGAGCUGGAUUCGGUUCCAAGGGUUGGGCUGUCCGCCCAUUAAAGCGGUACGCGAGCUGGGUUCAGAACGUCGUGAGACAGUUCGGUCCCUAUCUGUUGUGGGCGAAGGAGAUCUGAGGAGAGCUGUCCUUAGUACGAGAGGACCGGGAUGGACCUACCGCUGGUGCACCAGUUGUACUGCCAAGUGCAUAGCUGGGUAGCUAAGUAGGGAAAGGAUAAGCGCUGAAAGCAUCUAAGCACGAAACCUACUCCAAGAUGAGAUCUCCCAUUCGUGAGAAGUAAGACCCCUUAAAGACGAUAAGGUAGAUAGGCCGGAGAUGGAAGUGUAGCGAUACACGGAGUUGACCGGUACUAAUCGGUCGAGGACUUAAUCAG